rnacentral:rRNA from 1 species
UAAUCCUACGGGAGGCAGCAGUGGGGGAUAUUGCACAAUGGGGGGAACCCUGAUGCAGCGACGCCGCGUGGGUGAAGAAGCGCCUCGGCGCGUAAAGCCCUGUCAGCAGGGAAGAAAAUGACGGUACCUGAAGAAGAAGCCCCGGCUAACUACGUGCCAGCAGCCGCGGUAAUACGUAGGGGGCAAGCGUUAUCCGGAUUUACUGGGUGUAAAGGGGGCGCAGACGGCGAUGCAAGCCAGGAGUGAAAGCCUGGGGCCCAACCCCGGUACUGCUCUUGGACCUGGGUGGCUGGAGUG